rnacentral:rRNA from 1 species
GCAGCCGCGGUAAUACGGAGGAUCCGAGCGUUAUCCGGAUUUAUUGGGUUUAAAGGGUGCGUAGGCGGCCCUGUAAGUUAGAGGUGAAAAGCGCGAGCUCAACUUGCGUCGUGCCUCUAAUACUGUAGGGCUUGAGAUUAGUUGCAGAAGGCGGAAUGUGUAGUGUAGCGGUGAAAUGCUUAGAUAUUACACAGAACACCGAUUGCGAAGGCAGCUUUCUAAGCUAAAUCUGACGCUGAUGCACGAAAGCGUGGGGAGCGAACAGGAUUAGAUACCCC